rnacentral:rRNA from 1 species
AACUUAAAUGAUUUCUUCGGAAUGAACUUAAGUGGAUUAGUGGCGAACGGGUGAGUAACACGUGAGUAACCUGCCUUACACAAGGGGAUAGCCUCUGGAAACGGAGAAUAAUACCCUAUAAAGUCUAAUCAGCCCAUGCUGGAAAGACCAAAGAUUUAUCGGUGUAAGAUGGACUUGCGUCUGAUUAGCUAGUUGGUGAGAUAAAAGCUCACCAAGGCGACGAUCAGUAGCCGGCUUGAGAGAGUGUACGGCCACAUUGGGACUGAGACACGGCCCAAACUCCUACGGGAGGCAGCAGUGGGGAAUUUUGCACAAUGGGGGAAACCCUGAUGCAGCGACGCCGCGUGAUUUAGAAGGCCUUCGGGUUGUAAAAAUCUUUUUUACGGGAUGAAAAUGACAGUACCGUAAGAAUAAGGUCCGGCUAAAUACGUGCCAGCAGCCGCGGUAAUACGUAUGGACCGAGCGUUGUCCGGAAUCAUUGGGCGUAAAGGGUACGUAGGCGGCCUAGUAAGUUAGAAGUUAAAGAAUAUAGCUCAACUAUAUAAAGCUUUUAAAACUGCUAGGCUUGAGAGAUGGAAGGGAAAGUGGAAUUCCUAGUGUAGCGGUGAAAUGCGCAGAUAUUAGGAAGAAUACCGGUGGCGAAGGCGACUUUCUGGUCAUCAUCUGACGCUGAGGUACGAAAGCGUGGGUAGCAAACAGGAUUAGAUACCCUGGUAGUCCACGCUGUAAACGAUGAGUGUUAGGUUCUUGGAAUAAUCUGGGAGCCGCAGCUAACGCAUUAAACACUCCGCCUGGGGAGUACGCACGCAAGUG